rnacentral:ncRNA from 2 species
GUCGAAUAAAGGCAAACCGCUCGAAAGGGUGGGACGCAAAGCUACAGGGGCUUCGUGAUCGAGGAUCACAUGCCAGCCAGCUCCCUAC